GGAGUAUGGCUUAGUGGUAGAGUGUGUGCUUAGCAUGCACGAGGUCCUGGGUUCAAUCCCCAGUGCCUCCA
rnacentral:tRNA from 1 species